AUACGUAGGGGGCGAGCGUUGUCCGGAAUGAUUGGGCGUAAAGGGCGCGUAGGCGGCCCGGUAAGUCUGGAGUGAAAGUCCUGCUUUUAAGGUGGGAAUUGCUUUGGAUACUGUCGGGCUUGAGUGCCGGAGAGGUAAGUGGAAUUCCCAGUGUAGCGGUGAAAUGCGUAGAGAUUGGGAGGAACACCAGUGGCGAAGGCGACUUACUGGACUGUAACUGACGCUGAGGCGCGAAAGUGUGGGGAGCAAACAGGAUUAGAUACCCUGGUAGUCCACACUGUAAACGAUGAAUGCUAGGUGUAGGGGGUAUCGACCCCUUCUGUGCCGCAGUUAACACAAUAAGCAUUCCGCCUGGGGAGUACGGCCGCAAGGUUGAAACUCAAAUGAAUUGACGGGG
rnacentral:rRNA from 1 species